UCAAGUCAAGUCACCUUUAUUUAUAUAGCGCUUUUUACAAUGUAGAUUGUGUCAAAGCAGCUUUACAUUGAUAACUGGUACAUUGUUUGGCUGCACAGCAGCUCUUAAAGAAUAGUGUCAAUGCAGGCAGAUCAAAGCACUGUUGAAUAUCAAAAUGUCAAGUCAAGUGUCCCCAACUAAGCAAGCCAGAGGCGACAGCGGCAAGGAACCCAAACUCCAUCAGGUGACAUCAGGUGGCAGACAAGUGGCAAAUUGGUGUUAAAAUGGAGAAAAAAACCUUGGGAGAAACCAGGCUUAGUCGGGGUGCCAGUUCUCCUCUGGCCAACAGUGCUUUGUUACAAUUCAGGUUGCUAUCAUAAGUCCAAUAGGAUCGCAACAUUAAAAGUAUUUAUUUCAGUUCCAUCCAAUUGAGGAUCGUAUUCAUCACGCCGGUAUGGACGGUUGUUGAGGAACUGUGUCGUGGCUGUCGUGUCGAUGAGGCCUUCACAGGGGAUGAUCUAGUUGACUCAAUCUCUGCUGAUACUUCAGGGCUGCGUUGUGGUCGUGUCAAGGUGCAGGUCCUUGGUCUCACCUGGAUACGGCCCGGAUCCAGUUGACUACGGUGAACCUUGGGAUAAACAGAAAGACUAAUAUUAGCGUAGAUGCCAUUCUUCUUCUGAUGUAACAAAUACAUCAGGUGUUAUAGGAAGUGUUCCCGGUUCCGGCUGACCUAAUUUAUGCAGCCUAAUAAUCCUUUAACGGAUUUGGAAAUAUAAAUUGGUAAUGUGUUAUGUGUAUGCCAGGUUAAAGAAAUGCGUUUUUAGUCUAGAUUUAAACUGACAGAGUGUGUCUGCUUCCCGAACAAUGCUAGGAAGAUUGUUCCAGAGUUUAGGUGCCAAAUAGGAGAAGGAUCUACCACCUGCAGUUGAUUUUGAUAUUCUAGGUAUUAUCAGCUGGCCUGAAUUCUGAGAUCGCAAUAGACGUGAAGGACUAUAAUGAAUUAGGAGCUCGCUCAGGUACUGGGGAGCUAAACCAUUUAGUGCUUUGUAAGUAAUUAGCAAGAUUUUAAAAUCUAUACGAUUUUUAACAGGAAGCCAAUGCAGUGUUGACAGAACUGGGCUAAUAUGGUCAUACUUCCUAGUUCUAGUAAGAACUCUAGCUGCUGCAUUUUGUACGAGCUGUAGUUUAUUUAUCAGGCGAGCAGAACAACCACCCAGUAGAGCGUUACAGUAAUCUAGCCUUGAGGUCAUGAACGCAUGAACUAACUGUUCUGCAUUUUUCAUUGAGAGCAUAUGUCGUAGUUUAGAUAUAUUUUUAAGAUGGAAGAAUGCGGUUUUACAGAUGCUAGUAACAUGGCCUUCAAAUGAAAGAUUGGUAUCAAAGAGCACACCCAGGUUCCUAACUGACGACGAAGACUUAACAGAGCAGCCAUCAAGUGUUAGACAAUAUUCUAGGUUAUUACGUGAAGAAGUUUUUGGUCCAAAAAUUAGAAUCUCUGUUUUUUCUGAAUUUAGUAGUAGGAAAUUACUGGUCAUCCAAUUUUUUAUAUCAGCUAUGCAUUCCAUUAAUUUUGUGAAUUGGUAAGUUUCGUCAGGGCGCGAAGAAAUAUAGAGCUGAGUAUCAUCAGCGUAACAGUGAAAACUAACGCCAUGCUUCCUAAUGAUAUCUCCCAAGGGUAGCAUGUACAGAGUGAACAGCAACGGUCCUAGUACUGAGCCUUGUGGUACUCCAUAUUGAACUUGUGAUCGGUAUGACAUGUCUUCGUUUACUACUACAAACUGAUAACGGUCAGAUAAGUAUGAUUUGAACCAUGACAAUGCAAUUCCACUAAUGCCAACAUAAUUUUCGAGUCUAUUUAAAAGAAUAUUGUGAUCAAUAGUGUCAAAUGCUGCACUAAGAUCCAGUAACACUAAUAGAGAGAUACAACCACUGAUGAUAAGAGCAAAUCAUUAGUAACUCUAAUGAGAGCAGUCUCAGUACUAUGGUACAGUCUAAAUCCUGACUAGAAAUCCUCACAGAUACCAUUUCUUUCUAAAAAGGAACAUAGCUGUGAUGAUACUGCCUUUUCUAGUAUUUUUGACAGAAAAGUGAGAUUUGAGAUCGGCCUGUAAUUGACUAAUUCUCUAGGAUCAAGUUGUGGUUUUUUAAUAAGAGGUUUAAUAAUAGCCAGCUUAAAAGUUUUUGGUACGUAUCCUAAUGAUAAAGAUGAAUUGACGAUAUUGAGAAGAGGGUCUAUGACCUCUGGAAGCAUUUCUUUCAAUAGCUUAGUCGGUAUAGGGUCUAACAUACAUGUUGUUGAUUUUGAUGAUUUAACAAGUUUAGACAAUUCUUCCUCUCCUAAAGCAGUAAAUGAACUGAAUUUUUCCUCAGGGACACUACAAUGCACUAUCUGACACGAUACUGUAGUAGACGGUUGCAUGGUUAUUAUUUUUUCUCUAAUAUUAUCAAUCUUGCAAGUAAAGAAGUUCAUAAAGUCAUUACUGCUGUGCUAUUUGGAAACAUCAGAAGUUGAAGCUUUAUUUCUUGUUAAUUUAGCCAC